GAUGAAGAACGUAGCGAAAUGCGAUAAGUAGUGUGAAUUGCAGAAUUCAGUGAAUCAUCGAAUCUUUGAACGCACAUUGCGCCCCUUGGUAUUCCAUGGGGCAUGCCUGUUCGAGCGUCAUUUGUACCUUCAAGCUUUGCUUGGUGUUGGGUGUUUGUCUCGCCUUUGCGUGUAGACUCGCCUUAAAAUAAUUGGCAGCCGGCGUAUUGAUUUCGGAGCGCAGUACAUCUCGCGCUUUGCACGCAUAACGACAGCGUCCAAAAGUACAUUUUACACUCUUGACCUCGGAUCAGGUAGGGAUACCCGCUGAACUUAAGCAUAUCAAUAAGCGGAGGA
rnacentral:misc_RNA from 1 species